GGCGUAGCGUAGCGGUUUAACGCGCCGGCCUGUCACGCCGGAGAGCGCGGGUUCAAAUCCCGUCGUCCU
rnacentral:tRNA from 1 species